rnacentral:rRNA from 1 species
UUGGAGGGCAAGUCUGGUGCCAGCAGCCGCGGUAAUUCCAGCUCCAAUAGCGUAUAUUAAAGUUGUUGCAGUUAAAAAGCUCGUAGUUGAAUUUCGGAAUCUGUCCGUCGGUCGGGCUUCACUGUCCGUACUGGUGUGAUGGGUUUCUACCUUCUGAAUAACCGGCAUGUCAUUAAUUUGGUGCGCCGGGGAAGCAGAACUAUUACCUUGAAAAAAUUAGAGUGCUUAAAGCAGGCUAUCGCCUGAAUAGAUUAGCAUGGAAUAAUAAAAUAGGACGGCAUGGUUCUAUUUUGUUGGUUUCUAGGAUCACCGUAAUGAUUAAUAGGGAUAGUUGGGGGCAUUAGUAUUCAAUUGUCGGAGGUGAAAUUCUUGGAUUUAUUGAAGACUAACUUCUGCGAAAGCAUUUGCCAAGGAUGUUUUCAUUAAUCAAGAACGAAAGUUAGGGGAUCGAAGACGAUCAGAUACCGUCGUAGUCUUAACCAUAAACUAUGCCGACUAGGGAUCGGACGAUGUUAAUUUUUUAAUGACUCGUUCGGCGCCUUACGGGAAAC